GGUAGCGCAAUCACUUGUCUUUUAAAUGAAGACCUGUAUGAAUGGUGAAACGAGGGCUUAACUGUCUCCCCUUUCAGGUCAAUGAAAUUGAUCUGCCCGUGCAGAAGCGGACAUACUUAUACAAGACGAGAAGACCCUUUGGAGCUUUAGGCAAAAGGUUAACUGUAUAAAUACCCUUAACUAACAUGGUUAAACAAAACAGCAACAUUUAAACUCUUUAAGCCUUCGGUUGGGGCGACCGUGGGGGAAAGCAAAGCCCCCAUGAGGAACGGGAAAUUCCUUAAACUAAGAGGGACACCUCUAAGUCACAGAACAUCUGACCACACAGAUCCGGCAACCAAGCCGAUUAACGAACCAAGUUACCCUAGGGAUAACAGCGCAAUCCCCUCCAAGAGUUCUUAUCGACAAGGGGGUUUACGACCUCGAUGUUGGAUCAGGACAUCCUAAUGGUGCAGCCGCUAUUAAGGGUUCGUUUGUUCAACGAUUAA
rnacentral:rRNA from 1 species